CCAUUCUCUCUCUCUCUCUCUCUCUCUCAAAAUUCAGAAGAAAAAUGAGGCCAUCGAAGCCUCAAACCUCUAUCAACCUUAAGCUCAUCCUCGUCUGUUUUCUCUGUCUUCUCCUCUUCCUUUUGGUAUUCAAAUCAAACUUCACACCUUUCCAAGAAAAUCAUCCAUCACCCAUCUUAGAAACUCAUGUAUCAAACUCAACCAGUACUCCAGCUGCAGAAGAACAACCACCAUCACGAGAUUGUCCAUCUCUACCCCUCACACCAACUUGCACCAAAACCCCACCCUCCCUAGCCCAAGCUCUUGUCCACUAUGCAACCCUCAACAUCACCCCACAACAAACCUUCAAUGAAAUCUCGGUGUCCUUGAGAGUUCUUCAAAAGAAGGCACCCUGCAACUUCCUGGUCUUUGGCCUAGGCCAUGACAGCCUCAUGUGGACUGCGCUCAACCAUGGUGGCCGCACCAUCUUCCUCGAAGAAGACAAGUCCUGGAUCGAGCAAAUCAAGCAGAAGCUCCCCAGCUUGGAAUCCUAUCAUGUAGUCUACGACAGCAAGGUACUAUAAAAUUUAACAAGAUCUACAUAUAGGAAACUAGAUCACUUCAUUCUUAAUUCAACUUCUUCAAAAAAUUAAACAAGUUACUAAGAAUUCUAGCUCUAGCUGGUCAUAGAUUAAUAGGAACAAAUACCCUUUAUUCCAAAUAGAAAGUUUGGUCAUUAUUGAUCCAUUAUGGUAUGAGCUUUGCUUAAAUGGAGGUCUCAAGUUGAAGUAAUUCUUAAUGAUCACUACUUUAUAUUUAAGUAUGUGUUCAAUCUAUUUUUAUAAAUCCACAGAGAGAGCAUGGUUAUUGUAAAGCUCACUUAUAUUGGCGGAUUAUUGCAACAGGUUCACCAAGCAGAUGAGCUGAUGGAGGUUGGCAUGGGAGAGGACUGCAAGGUUGUUGUUGACCCAAGAUUUUCCAAGUGUAAACUUUCAUUGAAGGGGUUUCCAAAUGAGGUGUAUGAUGUGGAAUGGGACUUGAUAAUGGUGGAUGCACCAACUGGGUAUCAUGAUGAGGCACCAGGGAGGAUGAGUGCCAUCUACACUGCAGGGCUGAUGGCUAGGAAUAGGGAAGAUGGUGAGACUGAUGUGUUUGUGCAUGAUGUGGAUAGGGUGGUGGAGGACAAGUUUUCCAAGGCAUUUUUGUGUGAGGGCUACUUUAGGGAACAAGAAGGCAGGAUUAGGCAUUUUACCAUUCCAAGCCAUAGGACUCGAUCCGGAAGAUCCUUUUGCCCAUGAAAAAUGAGGACCACUUCCGGUUUGAAAGUUGCUUUUUCAACAAAUUCAAUGACAUGGUAUGCAAGUUUUUACCAAAUUACAAGCAUUCAUGCAUUGAGUUUUGUGGAAAACCCUGUUUAGACUACUUAUUCAAUAGUCUCUCUUAGGUUCUUUUUCUUAUGUUUUCUUGAAGGGGGAAUUUUUUUCCCAAGUCUUGAAAAGGAGAAGAGAAGAGGAAAAACUUAUUAAAGAGAAUGUGAAGAAGGUUUCUUACCAAUAAAUGAGACAAAAUUAAAGAGGUGAAAGUUGCUUCCCAACAUAUGCCUUUUAUAGGCAUUUUAUUAAUUCCCCUUCUUGUGCCCUUUCUUGAGAUUAAUUUGGAGGGCCAAAGUAUGGGGUUUAGACCCUUUUUUAUUAUUAUUCUUUAAAUGAUUUUUCCUUGUUUUAUUGUGAUUUUUUCCCACCCUUUUUCCCUUCCUUUGGAGGGUUACCUUGCAGCACUUGUAAGUAUCAUAAUUUCAUUAUCAAUGCACUGAAUUCUUGAGUUUGUAUCAACUUAAUUGCCAAUUGAAACCAAUUUAGUAUCUAAUAAGUGAUCUGAUUUUAACUUAAAACUUAUCAGCAGAGAAAAUUUGAGUAUUGGGUAUUAAAUUGUAGGAUCAAAUCAACAUGGGUCAUCUCAAAUUUCAACCUAAAAAUUUGUGUUUUACCACCAAAAUCACUGUUAGCCAUGGUAGUUUCACAGAUCUGUUGCAAUUACUUGUAUCUGCUAUUUCUUAUUUUAUUUGUUACUGUUCUUUUCACUACCAAACCAACUUUUUGGAGUUUCAAGAAACAGCACUUUCAACAAUAAGACUAACCACCCACCAUCAUCAUGAUUUUGAAGUCUCCAAGGUGCACUUUAAUUCAAAAGUUUAUUAGUGGAGAGAUUUGUGUUUAAAGGUGGUUUAGGAAAGUUCUCUGCGAAAUGGGAGUUCAUGAUUAUACCUCCAUUGAAAAACCCUAAUGAGGAUCCAAAUUUGGGGCAUGUUUGGUCCUUUUAAAUUUUUUUCCUUUUAUUUAAAAUUUUGAAAAUAAUUUUAGAAAUGAUGUUUGGUUCACUUGUUUUUAAAAUUUUUAGCAUUUUUUAAAAAAAUUAAAGGAAUACAAUAUUUUUUAAUUUCUAAAAUUUUCUUUAAAAUAUUUUAGAAUCAAGUAUUUAUUAUCUUUAAUUAAACUAACAACAUUACUAUCUCUCCAAAAAAGAAAAGAGAAGAAUAUCAUUAAAAAAAUUGGUAUUUUUUUACUUACAAAAAACCAUGAUUUAAAAUAUCAGUAAAUAAGUAUAUAUUAGUAUUUUAAUUUUACAAAUAUAUAAAAAAUAUAGUAAAAUAGCGAUGAGCGAUGAAUAUUUUAACAAAAAUAUCGAUUGAGCAAUUCUCUCUACUUUCUAUCCCAACACUCCAUGUACUCUCAUAGUCCUACAACUACAACCUCUUUAUCUUUAAAAUCUAAAGAAAUUCAACUCCAAAGAGAAAAACACAAAAAUAAAUGGAAUCAAUGAGUGAAGUUUCCAGAAUUUCUGAAUUCUCACACAAAAAAAUUGGUUGUUUGAUUUACUCUUUUUUUUUUUUUGUUUUUUUUGUUCCAGUUGUUUUUUUCUUCAAUAUUUUUUUAGGUAUGAUAUUGUUUGGUUGUUGAAAAAAUUGAGGGAGGGAGAAUUUUGAGGUUUCUGUUAUUGAUUAUGUGGAAAAAGAAAUGAUGAGGAGUUGUUGUGUUCUCUCGGAUCGUAAUAGGGAUAAUCUUUCAUGUUUCAUACCCAUAAAAGGAAAAAUAAAAGAGGUGUCUGAGAGAGAACAAAAUGCAAAAAAAAAAAAAAAAAAAGGGAAAAGUUCAUGCAAGUUCCAAUGGAAAACAAUUGCUCUGCACCAGAGCAACACAUCCGUUUGAACUGAAGAGAGAAAAAAUCCGUGGAGGCGAAAACCAGCCAUGAAAAAGAAAAGAUUAGGGCAAAAACACGGAGAAUAUCCCAUUUUUUCUUGUUCUUUGAAUAGUGUAAAAAACAACAAAAACAUCUUGAUUUUAGAUCAAGGUAUUUGAAAACAUGGAGAACUCAAAAAACAACUUAAUACUCCUCUACCAAACUAGUUUUCAGUGGUUUUUUUGUUCCUAAUAACAGAAAAUGGUUUUUGAAAACAUCAACCAAACAGGCCCUUAGAGUCGCCACUUAUUUUUGUUUUAUUUUUUAAGGGAAAAACAAAAUAAGAAAGAAAAACCCUAAGGUGGUGUUUGUUUUUUUGGCUUUUUGCUGAAAACCAUUUAGUUUUAGAAUUUAGGUUGUUUGUUUUUUUACUUUUUCAUGACUUAUUAUAAACUUUUUACUAAAUAGAAAAAGCCAAAAUAUGUGGCUUUUUCUAAAUAGAAAAAAUAACAUAAUAGUUUUUUUUAUUUUUUAAUACUUAAUAGAAAUAAAAUACUACAAAAACAAACAACCUAAUAUUUAAUACUAUUAAGUAUUAAGGUUCUAUUUAGAAUUAAGUAAAAAAACAAACACCACCUAAGUGUGACACCUGAAGGAAAAAUAAGUUUGUGAAAAAUUGAGUUUGGAUUCGGGAUCAGGUUACUUAUUGAGAAUGUAUGAUAGUGAACUGUCGCACCUCUCUAAGCCUGUAUACAUACGAUCUCUACUGAUAAUUAAUUAAUUAAUUAAUUAUAGAUACCAAAAAAAAUAAUCAUGUAAAUGAAUAUGUACAAGUAAUGGUGAAAAUCAAUAUACAUAAAAAUAAUCAUGAAAUUUAAUUAUAAGAAUAUACAAAAUAAAUAAUAAGAGAAUUAUGCAAAAUGAUUUAUUGAACUAAAUAAAAAAAAUAUUACAAAAAAUAGUUUUCAAAAAAUUUUAUUAAAAAAUGAUUUUGAAUUAAUGAUUUUAAGUUAUUUAUUUACAAAAAAGAUGUUUCAAUUUAUUUUCAACUAAUGACUUGAUUCAAUUUCAUUUGUAUUUAUUUUUUUUAAAAUUUAUUUGCACUUAUUAUAUCAAAAUAAUUUAUUACAAAAUUUCAAUUUGGACACAAAAAUUAUUGUUACUUGCUUUUUCUAGAAAAGAAUAAAUUUUUACAACUUUAUUUACAAAAGUAUUUCAAUUUGUUUUCAUUUAAGAAAAAUCACUUAUACAAAUUAUUAAAAACAAUAUAAUUUUAUUUGCAAAAAAAAAUUUAAUUAAAAAUUAUUUUUGGGACAACUUUAUUUACAAAACAAUUUUUAUUAAACAAAUAAAAUUUUGGACAAUUUUAUCAAAAACAAUUUUUCAAAUUCUAUUUAAAACAAUUUUUUUUUGGAUUUUUUUAAAGCAUUUUUCUGAAUUUUUAUUAAUAAAAAAACUUUCUUUUAUUAAUAAGAAUAUUUUAAAAUUAUUAUUUUAUUAAAAUAUAUUUACUGAAUUAUUCCUCUUAGACAAAAUUUCUUAUUUGUUUGAUAUUCAAUUUUGUACAUAACAAGUAAAUAUACACAAAUAAAUAUUUAUAGAAACCAAUAGAAAUAAAACCAAAUAAAAGUGAGAAAUCAAAUAUAUACUCAAACAAGUUUGCAAUAAGUUCAAUGUCUUCCUACAACUUUGCUUUUCAAAUCUCACUUUCUUCCAUGAAAUUAUGUACUCCACAUAUCAUAAAUUUGUACUCAACCAAUAGAAUUACAUAAUGGACCCAUGCAAAAACAAAAAUAAUCCAAAUAUAAAUAUCUAAAAAUGUCUAAAAUUCAUAAUAGAUAUUCAAACCCAAAUUCAAAUUUCAAAUUAGUCCAACAAAUUUCAUCAAUUAAAAUGAAGUCAAAUUACUAUAAGUCUUAUCCCAAAAUAUUCAAAUUAAUAACCAAAAUACAACCACAAUCAUCUAAACCUAAAAUUGGAUAAAUUAAAAUAAAUUUUAUUUCAUCAAUUAAAAUGAAACCAAAUUACUAUAGGUUUUAUCCCAAAAUAUUCAAAUUAAUAGCUAAAAUACAACCACAAUCAUCUAAACCUAAAAUUGGAUAAAUUAAAAUAAAUUUUACUAAACCUAAAUUUAAUAUCUCCAAGCUUAAUUUCAUAUACAGCACAAUUGUCCCAUAUUCAAAUUAAAUAGUUUAAAUUAGUCAAUCUCAUAUCAAAUAUUCAAGUCAUUCAAUGAAUUUUACUCACGUUAUGAGCCUAAAAUUCAUAUUAAUUAACAAGCUCAUAUUAAUAAUACUCAUGACGAAAGGAAAUAAUGUCUUAAGCCUAAUCCAAUAAGCUCAAAUAAAUAAUCAAUCAUCAAUAAGUCAAAGUCCAAAUCAAUUUUUGGGCAAAAUAAUAAUAAUAAUAAUAAUAAUAAUAAAUAAAAAAAAGAAAAUUUACUCUUAGAACUAUGGAUGACCGGAUUAUUAGCCAGACAAUGACUGGUCAGCAAUGGCUGGCCAUGAGGGUGGCAGACGGAGAGAAAAUGGGUAUGGAUAGAGGAGGGAAGAAAAUAAUAAUAAUAAUAAAUGAAAAAAAAUUUUAAAAAAAAAAAAAAAACAAAAAGAGAUGAGAUGGGGGGUGGUAUCGGGGAUGGGGAAGGUAUGAGAGGAAAGAGAAAAUGUAUGUUGGGGUGGUUGGGGGAGAGAGAGGAGAGAGAAAGUGGAGAAUAAGAAGAAAAUAGUAAGAUAGAGGAGGGAGAAAAGAAAUAAAAAAUAAAAAUAAAUAAAAUAAAAAAUAAAAAUAAAAAUAAAAAUAAAAUAAUAAUGAAAAAUAAUAAAAUAAAAUAAUAUAUAAAAUAAUAAAAAUUAAAAUUAAAUAGUGAGUGGAUAAAAAAUGCAUAUAUAAUCUGGAUCUAAAAUCUAAAGAUAAAAUUAAGGUUAAAAUUAAUGUAAAAAUAAAAUUAAGACAAAUUUUAUGUUCUAUAAUUUGAUUUUUUUAAUAAUAAAAUAAAUAAAAAUACAUAUGUUAAAGUUAUUUUAUAAGUGUAAUCAAUUUAAGUAUAACGAACGAUAAUAUUUAUAAAUUUUUUUAGAAAAAAUUAUUUUAAAUUUCUUUAAUAUAUUCAUAUUUAUUUAUUUUAAAAUUUUAAAACAAAUCUAUUAAAAUAUGUUUUAUUUCAUUUUAAAUAAAAAUUAAAUAAUUUCUUAGAUUUAUAUAAAAUUCUUUAUUUGAAAUUUAAUUUCUAAAAUUUUAUUACAAAUUUAUGAUGACAACGUUUUGCCAUUGAUAUUAAUUUAUUCAAAUAAUUAAAAUUAUUUUAAUAAUUUAUCUUAUCAAAGUAAUUUUAAUUUAUAAAAUAUUAGAACUUGAUUCAUUUUUUUAAAAAUAUUUUAUCAAUUUUUGAAUAAAUUUAUAUUUUAAAUAUUUUAAAAUAAAAACACUCAAAAUCGAAUAAAAUUAACAAGAUAAAUAUAAAAGAAAUUAAAAGUAAAGUAUUGCAAAUUUUUAAAAUAGGAUUAAUAAGAUAAAUGAUGAUAUAUUUAAUAUUAAAAGUAUAAAUUAUUUAAUUCAAUUAUAUUUAAUAAUAUAAAAUAAAUAAUGAUACACAUAUAAUUUUUUUAAUAUUUAUAUUUUUAUAUUUAAUUAUAAUAUAAAUAAUAUAAAAAAGACAUUAAAAAAUUAUAAUGAUGGUUAUAAUUUUAGUAAUUAAUUAAAUGAAAUUAAAACAAAAUAAUUAGAAAAUUAUUUAUUAAAAUAUUUCUUUUAAUAUUUUUGUUUUAUGGUGGAUUUGACUAUGUUGAUUUUGUGCGCAUACAUACACAAGGGCUGAGUUGUUGUCUCAGGUUCAGGUACACACUAUUUUAGCGUUGACUGGCGCGUGGCUAUGUUGACUAGCGCGUGGUUCCGAAAUAUCAGUGAAAAUAAUAAUAAUAAUAAAAGCAUAAAUAUAUUCCUACCCAAUUUUAGUGGGUAUUUGAUAAAACUUUAUAUUUUUUACUAAAUUUAAAUUUAAGUUAAAUUAUUCUUAUAAAUUUUGUUAAUCUAAAAUUUAUUAUUUAUUUUUUUAUUUUAAAUAUUAAAUUUGUUUAGUAAAAUUAACUUAAAAUUUAUUCUAAAUUAUCCGAUUAACACAUUUAUUUUUAUUAAUUUUAACUAACAUUUAUUUGUAGUUAAUGACUUUAAUUCAUAGUUAUUUUCAUUAAUGGAAAACAAUAAAUUUAUUUAUUAAAUAUUCAUAUUUAAAGUAAUAUAUAUAAUUAUAAAAUAUUUAUUAUAAGAAAUGAAUUAUAGAUGUGGAAUAAUAAUUCUUAAAUAUUCUUUUCUUAAUGUGAGCAAAUGAAACAAAAAGAAUAUAAUAUUAUGAAUAACAUAACUAUUUUGAUUUAAUAUUUAAAGUUAAAAAUAAAUUUAAAUUAUAAUAUUAAAUUAUCUUAUUAAAUAUAUUUAAUAUAUUUAAUGAUUUAAAUUAAAUUAUUAAAUCAUAUUAAAUCAUAUUAAAUCUGAUAUACCCUCUUAUUGUUACUAUUAGUCUAAUUUGCACUUUAAUUCAAAAUUUUAUUGACUAUCGUUUAAUUUAUGCAAAUAUUUUAAUAAUUCAGUCCAUUUUUAUCAUAUUGGACUGAAUUUAAGAUAAAUUUUCACGAUUUAUCACGAAUAUUUUUCGUGAUUUAUUCCGAUAUUUUAAUCCACUAAUUUUUAUUUUAUUUUUUCUCCAUGGCUUAUGAUUUCAUCCAAAUCCAACGACUGAGAUCCCGGCUUCUCCCAACUCUCAAGGUUCAUGCCUUCACUUAAAUAGACCCUCAUCCUUCGCCGUCUCCCAAGGUGCCACGUCAUUCUUGCAUGCAUUUUUUCGUCUAAAAAUAAAAACCUAUAAGAUUAGAACCCUGGCCCAAUGUGUGGCAAAGAGGUGUUGUUGUAUGUUUAUUUCGUCUCACUUUACCUUUUUUUGUUUUCAAUAUUGUUACUAGUUUUGAUCAAUUUUUAUCUUAUUAAUAUUUUUUAUCAAAAUUUUUAUUGAUAAUUCUUUAUAUAUUUUGAUAUUUCUGUAAAAUUCAAGUACCAAUAUUUUCAUAAAAACCGAUAGUUUUAUCGUUGUCUACAAGAAUGUUAUCUUUAUUAAACAUUUUAUGUAAUAUCUCACAUCGAAUAAGGGAAGAAAAUUUGACAUUAUAUGUAUAACGAACUCUUAAUCAUAUAAACAUAUUUUAAAGCUAUGAAACUAAUUAGAACGAAUAAAAUCUAUAUAGGAAGGAUUAACUUAUUACAAAUGAUAUCGAAACUAAUCCAUGGAUUUGAUGUAAGUUUAUCUAUGAGAUUUAUUUGUUCAACUUUGUAAUAGGUGUUUGUUUGUUUGAUGUCACAUUAUUAUUUUUAUAAGACACGACUAAGAUAUUGUGUUUAUAUACAGGGGGUGGGAGGAGGGUUGAUUAGAUCAAAUAAGGGAAGAAGUUUUGUAUACUGAAUAUGUAGUAAACUUUUCUUAACCAUAUGUGCAUUUUAAAGUUGUCAGGACGCAUUGAUCCAAACCGAAUAAUAAUAUCUAUAUGGGAGCAUCCGAAGUGAAUAAUAUUUUAUAUGAGAGAAAGCAAAUUGUUAUAUGACACAUGCCUUGCAUUGCUACAUGUUAGCACUAAUGCAUCUUGUAUUAGAUAAGAAAGCAUGCUUGACAUAGGUAAGUAUUAACCUUCACCUUAGUGGGCACCUCCUUGUAGUAAAUGCCAAGAGAGUGCAUGUAACACCACAAACCUAAAGAUUGAGGACAUCAUAGUUAUUUCACAAAUCAAACCGAAACCAAUAUUAAAACAAAUUUAAAUAAAUAAUAAAUUUAAAGAUUCUUCUAAAUACUUAAACAUAAAUUCUAAAAAAAUUAUAACUGAAAAGAGUAACUAAGUCAAGAAUCCUAUAAACAACUCUAAAGUUGCUUCUAAAAGAAGCCCUUUCCUAUCCCAAUCUCUCUCACCCAUGCCACUUUAUCCUAAAGAGUGAAAUAAUGAAGAAUUGUGAGUUCAAUAAUUCAAGAAAAAAUAGUAUAAUGAGGAGUAAAUAUAGUUGAUGAUUAAAUGGUCCGAUUAAAUGGUCCUUCUCAUUUUUAUUCAAUCUCGUACAUCCAAAUCAAACUAUCCCACCUACUAUGCUUAGCAUUUAUUGAUGUCACUUCAUCUUGAAAAGUGGAAUAAUAAAGAGUGGUGAGUUAAUAAUUCAAGGAUAAAUAGUUUAAUAAGGAGUAAAAAUAGUUGAUGAUUAAACCAUGGUCCUUAUAAUUUUUAUUCAGCCUCAUACGUCUAAAGCAUAUGGUUCCACCCACUUCGCCUAGCAUAUAUUGAUGUCAUGUCAUCUUGAAGAGUGGGAUAAUAAAGAAUGGUGAGUUCAAUAAUUCAAGGAAAAAUAGUUUAACAAGGAGGAGUAAAUAUAGUUAAUGAUUAAAUCAUGGUUCUUUCUUUUUUAUUCAACCAUGUACAUCCAAAUUAGACUAUCCCACUCAUUGUGUCUAGCAUUUAUUGAUGUCACUUCAUCCUGAAAAGUGGAAUAAUAAAUAUUGAUGAACUAAUAAUUCAAGAAUAAAUAGUUCAAUAAAGAGGAGUAAAUAUAAUUGAUAAUUAAACCAUGAUCCUUACAUUUUUUUUUUAUUUUUUAUUUAACGUCGUUCAUCCAAACCAAAUUGUCCCACCCAUUGUACCUAAUUAGACGCAAACACAAAUCUUAGAUAUUCCCCCUUCUCCCUUGUCUCUCUUUCUCUAAAUCCAAAAGGAAAAAUGAGACCAUCGGAGACCCAAAACUCCAUCAACCUUAAGCUCAUCCUCAUCUGUUUUCUGUGUCUUCUCUUCUUCCUCUUGGUAUUCAAAUCAAACUUCACACCUUUCCGAGAAAAUCAUCCAUCACCCAUCUUAGAAACUCAUGUAUCAAGCUCAACAUGUCCAGCUACAGAAGAGCAACUACUAUCCCCAGCUUGUCCAUCUCUACUUUUCACACCAACUUGCACCAAAACCCCACCCUC
rnacentral:lncRNA from 1 species